AACUAGCCCAGAUAGAAGCGAAAAUCCUUUUAUCUCGUUUUUUUAAACGAGAUAAAAGAUUGUAGUGAAUAGCUGGAAAUAGC
rnacentral:sRNA from 1 species